rnacentral:lncRNA from 1 species
AUACUUGGACUCAAAAAAAAUUCAUUUGACUACUUUUUAAUGAACCGUACACUUGCAAAAUUUUAAAUUGAAAUAAUAUUUUCGUGAACAACUAACAUGCAUCGACGAAUAAUGUGGUUGUCAUAUUUCCAUUUGUUAAUUUUCAUACUAUCUCUUGCUCUCUUUUGGUUUUCCUUAUUCAAGUUAGGAUUAAAACAAAGUAAUGUGAUUGGUAUGUUGCCUGUUUGGAAGAUUUUGGAGUUGCAUUAGAUAAAACCAUCGUGUUGUAACAAUUGGAGGGUAAAAAAGUAAUGGUGGUUAUUUUGACUUUAUAGAGCACUUUGUACAAACAUGGUUAUUUGCUAUUUCGUGGGUAAUGAUGUUGCUAGAAGCUCUUAAUGAUUAUGCAUGUUGGUGUAGAUGAUUUUAUUUUUGCAACCUCUUUACUAU